GUAGGGAAUAUUGGGCAAUGGUCGGAAGACUGACCCAGCCAUGCCGCGUACAGGAAGACGGCCCUCUGGGUUGUAAACUGCUUUUAUCUGGGAAGAAAAAGGCCAUGCGUGGCAAAUUGCCGGUACCAGAUGAAUAAGCACCGGCUAACUCCGUGCCAGCAGCCGCGGUAAUACGGAGGGUGCGAGCGUUGUCCGGAUUUAUUGGGUUUAAAGGGUGCGUAGGCGGCUGAUUAAGUCAGCGGUGAAAGACUUCGGCUUAACCGGAGCAGUGCCGUUGAUACUGGUUGGCUUGAGUGUCGGAGGGGUACAUGGAAUUGAUGGUGUAGCGGUGAAAUGCAUAGAUACCAUCAGGAACACCGAUAGCGAAGGCAUUGUACUGGCCGACAACUGACGCUAAUGCACGAAAGUGUGGGGAUCGAACAGGAUUAGAAACCCGUGUAGUCC
rnacentral:rRNA from 1 species